GCGAAAGACGGGUGAGAAUCCCGUCCACCGAUUGACUAAGGUUUCCAGAGGAAGGCUCGUCCGCUCUGGGUUAGUCGGGUCCUAAGCUGAGGCCGACAGGCGUAGGCGAUGGAUAACAGGUUGAUAUUCCUGUACCACCUAUAAUCGUUUUAAUCGAUGGGGGGACGCAGUAGGAUAGGCGAAGCGUGCGAUUGGAUUGCACGUCUAAGCAGUAAGGCUGAGUAUUAGGCAAAUCCGGUACUCGUUAAGGCUGAGCUGUGAUGGGGAGAAGACAUUGUGUCUUCGAGUCGUUGAUUUCACACUGCCGAGAAAAGCCUCUAGAUAGAAAAUAGGUGCCCGUACCGCAAACCGACACAGGUAGUCAAGAUGAGAAUUCUAAGGUGAGCGAGCGAACUCUCGUUAAGGAACUCGGCAAAAUGACCCCGUAACUUCGGGAGAAGGGGUGCUCUUUAGGGUUAACGCCCAGAAGAGCCGCAGUGAAUAGGCCCAAGCGACUGUUUAUCAAAAACACAGGUCUCUGCUAAACCGUAAGGUGAUGUAUAGGGGCUGACGCCUGCCCGGUGCUGGAAGGUUAAGAGGAGUGGUUAGCUUCUGCGAAGCUACGAAUCGAAGCCCCAGUAAACGGCGGCCGUAACUAUAACGGUCCUAAGGUAGCGAAAUUCCUUGUCGGGUAAGUUCCGACCCGCACGAAAGGCGUAACGAUUUGGGCACUGUCUCAACGAGAGACUCGGUGAAAUCAUAGUACCUGUGAAGAUGCAGGUUACCCGCGACAGGACGGAAAGACCCCGUGGAGCUUUACUGUAGCCUGAUAUUGAAAUUCGGCACAGCUUGUACAGGAUAGGUAGGAGCCUUUGAAACGUGAGCGCUAGCUUACGUGGAGGCGCUGGUGGGAUACUACCCUAGCUGUGUUGGCUUUCUAACCCGCACCACUUAUCGUGGUGGGAGACAGUGUCAGGCGGGCAGUUUGACUGGGGCGGUCGCCUCCUAAAAGGUAACGGAGGCGCUCAAAGGUUCCCUCAGAAUGGUUGGAAAUCAUUCAUAGAGUGUAAAGGCAUAAGGGAGCUUGACUGCGAGACCUACAAGUCGAGCAGGGUCGAAAGACGGACUUAGUGAUCCGGUGGUUCCGCAUGGAAGGGCCAUCGCUCAACGGAUAAAAGCUACCCCGGGGAUAACAGGCUUAUCUCCCCCAAGAGUUCACAUCGACGGGGAGGUUUGGCACCUCGAUGUCGGCUCAUCGCAUCCUGGGGCUGUAGUCGGUCCCAAGGGUUGGGCUGUUCGCCCAUUAAAGCGGUACGCGAGCUGGGUUCAGAACGUCGUGAGACAGUUCGGUCCCUAUCCGUCGUGGGCGUAGGAAAUUUGAGAGGAGCUGUCCUUAGUACGAGAGGACCGGGAUGGACAUACCUCUGGUGUACCAGUUGUCGUGCCAACGGCAUAGCUGGGUAGCUAUGUGUGGACGGGAUAAGUGCUGAAAGCAUCUAAGCAUGAAGCCCCCCUCAAGAUGAGAUUUCCCAACUUCGGUUAUAAGAUCCCUCAAAGAUGAUGAGGUUAAUAGGUUCGAGGUGGAAGCAUGGUGACAUGUGGAGCUGACGAAUACUAAUCGAUCGAAGACUUAAUCAA
rnacentral:rRNA from 1 species